rnacentral:lncRNA from 1 species
GGGCGCGUCUCCAGACAAGGACAAGCCUUUGGGGUCGAGAUGCCGCCCACCCCUCCCCCAACCUCAGCCCCAGAUCGGGGCUUUAGAGCCCAGCCCAGCACCCAGGUGGACUGAGUUGAGACAGGGACGAGCUCCAGCUCUGCAGAACCCAGGGGUGACUCGCCACUCUCAAGCACAGUCCCAGGUCGAGAGGUGGUGGGCUGAAGCCUGAACCCCCCUCCCUGUGUGUUUGGAUGGGCCGUGUUGCUAUGAUUAACUUAUUAAACCC